rnacentral:rRNA from 1 species
CCCAGACUCCUACGGGAGGCAGCAGUGGGGAAUAUUGCACAAUGGGGGAAACCCUGAUGCAGCGACGCCGCGUGAGCGAGGAAGUAUUUCGGUAUGUAAAGCUCUCUCAGCAGGGACGAAAAAAGACGGUACCUGACUAAGAAGCCCCGGCUAACUACGUGCCAGCAGCCGCGGUAAUACGUAGGGGGCAAGCGUUAUCCGGAUUUACUGGGUGUAAAGGGAGCGUAGACGGCAAGGCAAGCCAGAAGUGAAAGGGCAGGGCUCAACCCUGUACAUGCUUUUGGAACUGUGGUGCUAGAGUGCAGGAGAGGUAAGUGGAAUUCCUAGUGUAGCGGUGAAAUGCGUAGAUAUUAGGAGGAACACCAGUGGCGAAGGCGGCUUACUGGGCUGUAACUGACGUUGAGGCUCGAAAGCGUGGGGAGCAAACAGGAUUAGAUACCCUGGUA